rnacentral:rRNA from 1 species
GACAGAGGGUGCAAACGUUGUUCGGAAUUACUGGGCGUAAAGCGAGUGUAGGCGGUCUGAAAAGUCAGGUGUGAAAGCCCUGGGCUCAACCCAGGAAGUGCACUUGAAACUGCCAGGCUAGAGUAUCGGAGAGGUUGGUGGAAUUCUCGGGUGUAGAGGUGAAAUUCGUAGAUAUCGAGAGGAACACCGGUGGCGAAGGCGGCCAACUGGACGAAUACUGACGCUGAGACUCGAAAGCGUGGGGAGCAAACAGG